UUGGGCUCCACGAUCUCAUAUCUCUGGUAAUCGAUAUUCUUCGUGUUCUCCGUCCAGACUGGUUCCUCCACUCUUCUGCUGAUCCUCUAUUCUCUUCGAUCGCCGUGAAAUCGGAGCAAAAUGUGGAAGCUUAAAUUUGCGGAGGGAGGUAGUCCAUGGCUGAGAACGACGAACAAUCAUGUCGGAAGACAAGUCUGGGAGUUCGAUCCGAGGCUCGGGACUCCUGAGGAGCUCGCCGAGAUCGAGGAAGCGCGAAAAUCGUUCGCGGAGAAUCGAUUUGUGCAUAAGCACAGCUCCGAUCUGCUUAUGCGUCUUCAGUUUUCUAGAGAAAACCCUGUUCGUCAAGUUUUACCUCAAGUCGAAGUCAAAGAUACUGAUGACAUUUCGGAGGAGAUGGUGGCAAAUACAUUGAGAAGGGCUCUAAAUUUCCAUUCAACAAUACAGGCGCACGACGGGCACUGGCCAGGAGAUUACGGCGGUCCUAUGUUUCUUCUCCCAGGGCUGGUAAUUGCUCUUUCUAUAACCGGAGCACUGAAUGCAGUAUUAUCAGAACAACACAAACAAGAAAUGUGCCGAUAUCUCUAUAAUCAUCAGAAUGAGGAUGGAGGGUGGGGUUUACACAUUGAGGGGCCCAGCACCAUGUUUGGUUCUGUAUUGAACUAUGUUACCAUGAGGUUACUUGGUGAAGGGCCUAAUGAUGGAGAUGGAGCUAUGGAGAAAGGACGAGAUUGGAUAUUAAAUCAUGGAGGUGCUACCUAUAUCACGUCAUGGGGAAAGAUGUGGCUUACAGUACUUGGAGUUUUUGAAUGGUCUGGAAAUAAUCCCCUUCCACCUGAGAUAUGGCUUCUUCCAUAUAUAUUGCCAAUCCAUCCAGGAAGGAUGUGGUGCCACUGUCGGAUGGUCUACCUGCCUAUGUCUUAUCUGUAUGGAAAGAGAUUUGUUGGCCCUAUAACACCAACUGUUCUUUCACUGAGAAAGGAGCUUUUCACUGUGCCAUAUCAUGAAGUUGACUGGAAUAAGGCACGGAACCUUUGUGCAAAGGAGGAUUUAUACUACCCACACCCAGUUGUCCAAGAUAUUCUCUGGGCAUCGCUACAUAAGGUUGUUGAACCGAUUCUAAUGCGAUGGCCUGUUACAAAGUUGAGGGAAAAGGCUCUAAGGACUGCAAUAGAACACAUACAUUAUGAAGACGAGAAUACAAGAUAUAUCUGCAUAGGACCUGUGAACAAGGUAUUAAAUAUGCUUUGCUGCUGGGUAGAGGACCCAAACUCAGAGGCUUUUAAGUUACACCUACCAAGAAUCCAUGACUAUCUCUGGGUAGCAGAAGAUGGUAUGAAAAUGCAGGGUUAUAACGGAAGUCAACUAUGGGAUACAGCUUUUGCAAUUCAAGCAAUUUUUGCGACCAACUUUGUUGAAGAAUAUGGGGACGUUUUGAAGAAAGCAAAUUCGUAUAUCAAGAAGUCUCAGGUAUUAGAGGAUUGCCCUGGAGAUCUUAGUUACUGGUAUCGCCACAUUUCUAAGGGUGCUUGGCCUUUCUCGACAGCGGAUCACGGGUGGCCUAUCUCUGAUUGCACAUCAGAAGGACUAAAAGCUGCUCUUUUACUAUCAAAAGUUUCUCCAGAGAUUGUUGGUGAACCAGUAGAGGCAAAGCGGUUAUAUGAUGCUGUAAAUGUUAUUCUUUCGCUUCAGAAUGCAGAUGGAGGCUUUGCAACAUAUGAGCUCACAAGGUCAUACCCUUGGUUAGAGCUAAUUAACCCAGCAGAAACAUUUGGCGACAUUGUAAUUGAUUACCCUUAUGUGGAAUGUACCUCAGCAGCUAUUCAAGCUUUGACAUCAUUCAAGAAGUUGUAUCCUGGACAUCGGCAGAAAGAAGUAGAUCAAUGCAUCAAGAAGGCAGCCAAGUUCAUUGAAUCUAGUCAAGCACCAGAUGGCUCAUGGUAUGGAUCAUGGGCUGUUUGCUUCACAUAUGCUAUAUGGUUUGGAGUGAAAGGACUGGUAGCCACCGGAAAAACCUUUAGCAACUCUGCAAGCAUCCGCAAAGCUUGUGAGUUUCUAUUGUCGAAACAACUUCCUUCCGGAGGAUGGGGAGAAAGCUAUCUUUCAUGUCAAGACAAGGUAUACACAAAACUCAAAGGCAACAGGUCGCAUGUUGUGAACACAGGAUGGGCUAUGCUCACACUUAUUGGUGCUGGGCAGCAUGAACGGGACCCGAAACCGUUACAUCGGGCUGCAAGAUACUUGAUUAAUUCCCAGUUGGAGAAUGGCGAUUUCCCGCAACAGGAGAUCAUGGGUGUCUUCAAUAAGAAUUGCAUGAUAACUUAUGCAGCUUAUAGAAACAUUUUCCCCAUAUGGGCAUUGGGAGAGUACCGAUCUCAGGUCUUGCAAGCAGCUUAGUCGUGCCAACGACAACCGAUAAUUCCUCGAGGUUGAUGGGGAUGGACAAUUCGGUUUCGGUUUUCAGUAUUCGUUAUUGGAGUUAACCGGCUCGAAAUGGAAUAUAUUUCAGUUGGGUUUCGGUUUCGGCUCAUUUGGGUUCCAAGAAAUGCUGCAAAUUUUCCAAACCGAAGUCGGUUUAGUUCGGUUUACAGAGACGAGCAGGUCAACUAGAUAUAAUUUGUCCAUUGUUUAGGAACUCGUGAGAAAUCAAUGUUUCUGCAAUUGUUAAUUAUC